AUUGAACGCUGGCGGCAGGCCUAACACAUGCAAGUCGAACGGUAACAGGAAGAAGCUUGCUUCUUUGCUGUCGAGUGGCGGACGGGUGAGUAAUGUCUGGGAAACUGCCUGAUGGAGGGGGAUAACUACUGGAAACGGUAGCUAAUACCGCAUAACGUCGCAAGACCAAAGAGGGGGACCUUCGGGCCUCUUGCCAUCGGAUGUGCCCAGAUGGGAUUAGCUAGUAGGUGGGGUAACGGCUCACCUAGGCGACGAUCCCUAGCUGGUCUGAGAGGAUGACCAGCCACACUGGAACUGAGACACGGUCCAGACUCCUACGGGAGGCAGCAGUGGGGAAUAUUGCACAAUGGGCGCAAGCCUGAUGCAGCCAUGCCGCGUGUAUGAAGAAGGCCUUCGGGUUGUAAAGUACUUUCAGCGGGGAGGAAGGGAGUAAAGUUAAUACCUGUGCUCAUUGACGUUACCCGCAGAAGAAGCACCGGCUAACUCCGUG
rnacentral:rRNA from 1 species